UUCUAGGGUUUGCAUUGAAGAAGAUAAUCCCUUUUAUGACGACCUUCAUCUCCUCUUCAUAGCAUCUUAUUACCUAGAGUGAAUCUUUUGAGGCUCAGAGAUGAUGGACUUUUGAGGAGACGGUCGAAUUCCUGUAUAAAAUCCAGCACCAACAUGAAUGGCCCUUUAAAAAUAUCACAUUUGUAAUGUACUUGAACAUCUGGCUCGAUCAGCAACUGAAAGAAUACGUGUUAUAGUUCAUCAAUCCUUUUACGUGUGGCGUAUAAUUCUUUUUAGGAAACUGGUCAGUACGGCGUGUAAGUAUAAUCAGUGUAUCGGCCUUGUAUUCUUGUGGUGGGGAUCGUUCCUUGUUUUGUCGGUGAGCCGGAUUGAAUUUUUAUUUUAAAAUUUUAAUAUGGAUUAGUUUCAUCUCUGUGGGAAAAAAGCAGUAUACUAUAGACCAAGCAAAUUCAAACUCAUUCGUUUAAUCAAACACUCAAAAAUUAUACUAAAUUUCGUAGCAACUCCUAAAUUACACUAGGACUUUAUGGAGUACACAUCUAUGAAUAUAUGUGAACUAAUAACAUCAUUUUAUAAUAAAGUCAAAAAUAAAAGGAGACAUUUAUUAAAAAAUGAUUUCAAUUAAUUAAAGUAUUCAAAAUAGCCAUUUUUACCAUGAUUACAUAAUCUGAUACGUACUAAGUUAUAUAUUUAAGGAUUUUUAACGUUAAAACCCCUCAACUAUGUUUGUUUUGGGUAAAAACUCUCAAACUAAGUAUUUAAUGUAAAAGCCCACAAACUAACUUUAUUUAACGAAGUAAACCCUAACAGGUCAUAAU
rnacentral:lncRNA from 1 species